rnacentral:piRNA from 1 species
UUGUCUUUUUAACCAUUCCAUGAUUUGGACA